UAACACGCGUGGCUAGGUGGUACUUUUGUAUCGCCGGAUGGUGAUGAGUAGUCAUCGGUUAAGCCGGAGGGGGUGCUACAGAUUGCCACGGUCUUAUCUCCCUCCGGUUUUGCUAA
rnacentral:sRNA from 12 species